UAAUUUGUGAAGCAUUUUGUUGAGACUUGGUAAGGCACUGAGAUGAUGGCAGGAACAGGAUGGUUUUCUCUCCAACUUUUAUUGAGUUUUUCAUUAUGCCAGAGGUAUCCAGAAAAUCCCCGCUAAUUGCACAGAAAAUAAAAGACUACAAGGAAGGUUGUGAUUGGAGGUUGCGUGUAUGUCGGCGUAAUUCAUCAUCAACGACACUUCGAGGUUCCUGUGCUUCAUCGGGGAAGGCGUGCGAGAAGAGGACCACCGUGUGGCACAUGACUUUCUAUUAUAUUCAAUUGAGUUUGUAUUGGUACUUUUUAAAUGUAUAGUUUGGCAUUAACGUUCUAAACAUGAUUUUCAAUUGACCAAUGUUACAAAAGAUCAUAAUGGACUAUUUAAUUAAGUGUAUUCCUCUUUUCUUUAAGAAAAAAAAGUGUGAUGCUCGUAGACCUGAUCUACGGGUACAAUUUAAAACAA